UCCAGAGAUGGAUUGGUGCCUUCGGGAACUGUGAGACAGGUGCUGCAUGGCUGUCGUCAGCUCGUGUUGUGAAAUGUUGGGUUAAGUCCCGCAACGAGCGCAACCCUUAUCCUUUGUUGCCAGCGGUCCGGCCGGGAACUCAAAGGAGACUGCCAGUGAUAAACUGGAGGAAGGUGGGGAUGACGUCAAGUCAUCAUGGCCCUUACGACCAGGGCUACACACGUGCUACAAUGGCAUAUACAAAGAGAAGCGACCUCGCGAGAGCAAGCGGACCUCAUAAAGUAUGUCGUAGUCCGGAUUGGAGUCUGCAACUCGACUCCAUGAAGUCGGAAUCGCUAGUAAUCGUAGAUCAGAAUGCUACGGUGAAUACGUUCCCGGGCCUUGUACACACCGCCCGUCACACCAUGGGAGUGGGUUGCAAAAGAAGUAGGUAGCUUAACCUUCGGGAGGGCGCUUACCACUUUGUGAUUCAUGACUGGGGUGAAGUCGUAACAAGGUAACCGUAGGGGAACCUGCGGUUGGAUCACCUCCUUACCUUAAAGAA
rnacentral:rRNA from 2 species